GAUCCUACGGGGCGCAGCAGUGAGGAAUAUUGGUCAAUGGGCGGAAGCCUGAACCAGCCAAGUCGCGUGAGGGAAUAAGGCCCUACGGGUCGUAAACCUCUUUUGCCGGGGAGCAAGGGCCGGGACGAGUCCCGGUCCGGAGAGUACCCGGAGAAAAAGCAUCGGCUAACUCCGUGCCAGCAGCCGCGGUAAUACGUAGGGGGCAAGCGUUAUCCGGAUUUACUGGGUGUAAAGGGAGCGUAGACGGCUGUGCAAGUCUGAAGUGAAAGCCCAGGGCUCAACCCUGGGACUGCUUUGGAAACUGU
rnacentral:rRNA from 1 species